UACGUAGGUGACAAGCGUUGUCCGGAUUUACUGGGCGUAAAGAGCGCGCAGGCGGCAGAGCAAGUCGAGUGUGAAAGCCCCGGGCUUAACUUGGGAAUUGCGCUCGAAACUACUUUGCUGGAGUGUGGCAGAGGAAGGUGGAAUUCCACGUGUAGCGGUGAAAUGCGUAGAGAUGUGGAGGAACACCAAUGGCGAAGGCAGCCUUCUGGGCCAACACUGACGCUCAUGCACGAAAGCGUGGGGAGCAAACAGG
rnacentral:rRNA from 1 species